CCUACGGGCGGCAGCAGUGGGGAAUAUUGGACAAUGGGGGGAACCCUGAUCCAGCCAUGCCGCGUGUGUGAAGAAGGCCCUCGGGUUGUAAAGCACUUUCAGUGAGGAAGAACGCCUGGUGGUUAAUACCCAUCAGGAAAGACAUCACUCACAGAAGAAGCACCGGCUAACUCCGUGCCAGCAGCCGCGGUAAUACGGAGGGUGCGAGCGUUAAUCGGAAUUACUGGGCGUAAAGCGCGCGUAGGUGGCUUGAUAAGCCGGUUGUGAAAGCCCCGGGCUCAACCUGGGAACGGCAUCCGGAACUGUCAAGCUAGAGUGCAGGAGAGGAAGGUAGAAUUCCUGGUGUAGCGGUGAAAUGCGUAGAGAUCGGGAGGAAUACCAGUGGCGAAGGCGGCCUUCUGGACUGACACUGACACUGAGGUGCGAAAGCGUGGGUAGCAAACAGGAUUAGAUACCCGUGUAGUC
rnacentral:rRNA from 1 species